rnacentral:ribozyme from 2 species
GAAUAGUGUUACCAUCAGCCUCACAUCCUAAUUUUAUUUCCUCAUUCAAUAGCCACUUAUGUGGAUGCUAGAUUCUGGAGAUAAUAUAUGAACUUGGAGUGAUUCUUGUUUCCUCCUGUACCCCAAUUCUGUAUCUAGUUAGGAAGAUUCUGAAAGUAAGGCACCUAACAGACUAUAAAUGAGUGAGUGCAA